GGAUCCAGACCUUUAUUCUGGCUCAGGAUGAACGCUAGCUACAGGCCUAACACAUGCAAGUCGAGGGGAAACGGCAGCUUAGCUUGCUAAGCUGGACGUCGACCGGCGCACGGGUGAGUAACGCGUAUCCAACCUGCCCCACGGUGAGGGAUAACCCGCGGAAACGCGGCCUAAUACCUCAUGGUCUCCGAGUUUGCCAUCAACCUUGGAGUAAAGAUUCAUUGCCGUGGGAUGGGGAUGCGUCUGAUUAGCUUGUUGGCGGGGCAACGGCCCACCAAGGCAACGAUCAGUAGGGGUUCUGAGAGGAAAGCCCCCCACAUUGGAACUGAGGCACGGUCCAAACUCCUACGGGAGGCAGCAGUGAGGAAUAUUGGUCAAUGGGCGAGAGCCUGAACCAGCCAAGUAGCGUGCAGGAAGACGGCCCUAUGGGUUGUAAACUGCUUUUAUGCGGGGAUAAAGCGGGCGACGUGUCGCCCUUUGCAGGUACCGCAUGAAUAAGGACCGGCUAAUUCCGUGCCAGCAGCCGCGGUAAUACGGAAGGUCCGGGCGUUAUCCGGAUUUAUUGGGUUUAAAGGGAGCGCAGGCCGGGUAUUAAGCGUGUUGUGAAAUGUAGGCGCCCAACGUCUGCACCGCAGCGCGAACUGGCGCCCUUGAGUACGCACGACGUUGGCGGAAUUCGCCGUGUAGCGGUGAAAUGCUUAGAUAUGGCGAAGAACUCCGAUUGCGAAGGCAGCUGACGGGAGCGCUACUGACGCUCAUGCUCGAAAGCGCGGGUAUCGAACAGGAUUAGAUACCCUGGUAGUCCGCGCGGUAAACGAUGGAUGCCCGCUAUUUGCGCAUUAGCGCAAGUGGCCAAGUGAAAACGUUAAGCAUCCCACCUGGGGAGUACGCCGGCAACGGUGCAACUCAAAGGAAUUGACGG
rnacentral:rRNA from 1 species